rnacentral:rRNA from 1 species
GAUGAACGCUGGCGGCGUGCCUAAUACAUGCAAGUCGAGCGAACGGACGAGAAGCUUGCUUCUCUGAUGUUAGCGGCGGACGGGUGAGUAACACGUGGAUAACCUACCUAUAAGACUGGGAUAACUUCGGGAAACCGGAGCUAAUACCGGAUAAUAUUUUGAACCGCAUGGUUCAAAAGUGAAAGACGGUCUUGCUGUCACUUAUAGAUGGAUCCGCGCUGCAUUAGCUAGUUGGUAAGGUAACGGCUUACCAAGGCAACGAUGCAUAGCCGACCUGAGAGGGUGCUCGGACACACUGGAACUGAGACACGGUCCAGACUCCUACGGGAGGCAGCAGUAGGGAACUUUCCGCAAUGGGCGAAAGCCUGACGGAGCCACGACGCGCGAGUGCUGAACGUAUUCGGAUCGUAAAACUCUGUUAUUAGGGAAGAACAUAUGUGUAAGUAACUGUGCACAUCUUGACGGUACCUAAUCAGAAAGCCACGGCUAACUACGUG